CUUAAAGUAUAAACCUUUGAGUAGGAAAGUAAAAAUUACUGAGGAAAAAUAAGAAACAAGAUGUAACAAUGGAAAAAAAAAAAAAAAAAGACUAACAUCUUUGUAACAUGAGAGAUACUUCACCAAGAAGAUACUUUUUAUCCCCCAAAUAUUAUAUAGAAACAUUGUGGCUAGCUAGCUAUCAAUCAUCUAUCUAUCCGGAGAAGUGGAGAGUUAAAAGCAGAUCCCUCCCACCCACACAGAUGCAGAAUUCCAGGUGGUUGAAAGAACCUGAGAAAAGGAAAGAAUUUUCUUCAUCAUCAACUACCUCAAGAGACCGAAACAGAGACCAGAUGAUGUUCUUCAUGACACUUCUCAUCUCUGCAUCUCCCUAUUCCCCAAAACUGGAAAGUAAGAAUCUGAAGCCUACUCUUUUAUGCUGACCCAUCACUCUGAUGCCAGGGCGUUGUUGAUUCCAGUUAUUCUUCUCAACUGAUCUCCUGUCCACAGCUUCCUUAAUGAUCGCUUUUAUUAGGACCAUACAUUUCAUAGCUAUUGUCAUAUUUUGUUUGUACGAAAUCUUAAAAGUUUGUGCAGAAGAGCCUUCCC
rnacentral:lncRNA from 1 species